UAAAUUAGAAGUUGCCAUAAAUUCAUGUAACUCUGGUCAAUCAGAGCGUGCCAUCACUGCAUCUGCCACCUUGUGAUAAUUUGUGUAAUAAUCUACAUGCCAAUCUUCUUCGUCCACUCAAAGUUAGUCACCGUCACCAUUUUGUUCUUUUCUCCUCACCGAAGAAGAAAACUGCCUCUAGUAAAAAAAAAUUGAUAUCGAAGCGUUGGUUAUCUUUCUACGAGCCUGUCAACAAAAAAUUGAAGGAACAUAAAACUUGCAGGAAGGUUUGCUAGGGAAAGGAAGAAAAUAAUACGUGCAGGAACAAGUACGACGACUGAUUACGCCGAAAUGUUGCUUGAUAAGGAUUUGGACACUCUUAAGGACGAAUGGUGUUAUCCGGAUCGUCCAUUGAUGAUCAAUAAGAAGUACUCGUACAAGUUGCUGAGUGCUAUUAGCCCGGACAAUUUUUCAAUCAUUGUGGUGGAUCCGACUCAAAGGCGGUGAUUCAAAGGCAGAUUAAGGAGGUAAUGGAUCUUCAUUUGCACAACAUUGCCGGUUGUGCACCGGUUGACGUUGCCUGUCUGAAGGACGGACUUCCUGUAACUGUCAAAUUUGAGGACGGGAAAUUUCACCGAGCAGAGGUCAAUUUAGUUGAAGAGAAGGGCGUGAAUGUGUAUAUGGCGGAUUCAGGAGUGGAUAUUUUGAUCUCGGCUGAUUCCAUAUAUCCAUCGUCGACUGAACUUUUGAGACUUACAAAGCUUUCGUUAAUGUGCCGUCUUGCUCAAGUUGUCCCAUUUGAGGAACAGGAAAAGUGGAAAAGUAAGACUACAAGUCGCUGUUCCAAGGAAAGAAUACAUCAGUGUUCUCAAUUUCUCUAAUUGACUGUAGAGUCUCUGAAGUUUGGCUCACAUGUGACAAGAAGGAUGUUGGCUUUUAAAUGGUUAUGAAUUUGGGUUUAGCUGAUUAAUAGUGCUAAUAAAUAAGAGCCACAAAUGCUUGGGAAGUAUCCUCGAUAUGAUUAGUGAUUGGAUUGGACAGAAAAUCGGAGUCUUCGAGACAAAGGUUUCAAAAGUGGGAUCGAAUUUCAAAGUUCAUCUUCAGCUUCAUCCAUCUAUAAUGGAAUCUGUUGAUGCUGGAUUGUUGAAGUAUGACUCUACUUCCAACGACUCAAGAGUUGGAUGGAUACUUGGUGAAGCUGGUAGACUACGGAGAUUUUGUCAAUGUUCAGGAAAAAAAGACAUAUUCAAGAUUCCGAAUAAACUCGUUGAGAUUCCUGAGUUAAGUAGCAUUCCUGCUACAUAAUUGAACUAUUAGAAACGAACCCGAGCAAACUUCCUUCAGAUGAACAAAUUAUUGGAGUUGAUUGUAGAAAAAAUCUGGAAUGUUACAUUAGUCAUUUCAUGGAUGACGUAGAUCCCCGAGAAAUUCGAAAGUAAGACGAAAACCUACAAUAGGCCGAGUCAGGCACAGAGUCCCUGACUUGGUGAGUCAGAGUUCUAAAUUUUUCUCCUAAUUGGCCGACAUACCAAACUCCGUGGAUACUUAAAUGCUUGUUAGAUUUUCUAUUAUUUGGCAUCAAAUCCUGAACUUCCAUAGCUGUGUGUGCUAUCCAGAAGUGGUUUUUAGCCAACAUGCAUAUGCUAAAACUUUUAAGCCAAUCGGUUCAGCCGUUUUGACUCUAUCGUGCCGGACGGACGGACAUGACGGUUCCAUAAGCUUUAACUCGGGCUAAAAAUAGAUACUUAAAAUAUGUAAUGCACUUGAUAUCGAAUUUAUCGUUAAGUUCUACUCCCCUGAUUCGGGCUUUAUUGUCAUUUAUUGAUCAUAUGCACCAAAUUAGAAAAUAAUUAAAAGUUAAUUCGUUGACCACGUUACGGCCGCACCCUAACACCGGGUUUAGACUUCACGUUCUCCUCCCAAUCCGAUUUUUUGAUUGGCUAAUCAAAAAUAUCACUAACAAGGGACACUCACGACCUGUCGUUUGAGUCCAGGGUACCCACCAUGUUUUUA